GUGGUGACGGCCGGAGAAGGUGCUCCAGUAGGUGGUGCUGGUGGGCUCGAAGUUAAGGGAGAUGGUGCAGCCGAUGGAGUCACGACUGGGGAAGAGACUGGGACGGGAGCUGGUGGUGGUGAAGCUGCAGGAGGAGGAGUGGCUGCUGGUGGUGGUGACGCGACAGGAGGGGGAGUGGCUACAGGUGGUGGUGAGGCAACAGGAGGUGGAGUGGCUACAGGUGGUGGUGAGGAUACAGGAGGUGGAGUGGCUACAGGUGGUGGUGAGCUGACUGGCGGAGGAGUGGCAACGGGUGGAGGAGUUGAGACAGGUGGCGAUGCGACGGUUGGUGGUGGNNNNNNNNNNNNNNNNNNNNNNNNNNNUGGUGGAGUGGUGGUGGUUGGGGUGGCGGUGGGGGAGGAGGAAGGUGAUUGAGCGGCGACGGAAGAGAAGAUAAUGCAGAUGAGGGCAGUGAGGAGGGCAGCGUUGCGAUCCAUGAUUGAUUUAAUUUAAGCUUGGAAUUGGAUUUGGAUGAACGACAAGAAGAAUGUGUUAUGUGUGUGAGUGAUGGUGAGAGAGUAAGAGGUGUCUGGUUUAUUAUAUAGCGGACUUGUAUGAGGUAUAUCCGGUGCGGUGGGGUCGUUUGUAUCAUAUGCAUUGAGCCUUCCUAAUAAUCACCCUCCAAUAUCACAAACAUUUAACUCUCUUACUUUAGAAAUGAAGUAUAUUGUUUGUUAUAUCGAAAUGUGUUUUGAUGAAGUAUAAUUACUUAUAAUCGUAAUAUAGUAUAGGUUUUGUGUUAUUUUUAAUGUACAUAUAAUUGUUAAAUUUGUUUGGAUUGUUGGUUAUGUAUGUUUUAGCCGGUGAUAAGUAUAUAAUAUAAACAUUCCAAUAAUAUAUGAACAUAAAAGAGAUUAAAUAUGAACAAAACUUAAACUAUUUUACUGUUAUAAGUCAUUAAUUCUUUCUACAAUAGUUUCAUAUCAUUAGAGAAAUGGUUUGAUCUUUUGAGGAUCGAUCUUGAUGUUUGUUUGAUGAGCCUGGAUGGUAUUACAUAGUUGUUCAGAUAAAUGUUGACUAAGCAAAUGGUCUUUAGCUGGAACUAGGAUGAGCAAUCGUUCCAAACUGAACUGAACCGAAACCAGUUUAGAGUAAUAAUGAGAACCAAUAACUAGCUAGAUUGGUUGGGCUAUACCGGUUUUGAUGCAGGUGCCAAUUUUCGGUUAAAUACCUAGUUGGAAUCGACACAUGUUCUUAUACAGUUGGUAUAACUAGUUAAGGAUUUGAGCCAAAAUGAUUAAAAUAAUAUAAAAUCAACUAGCAAAAAUUAACCCAAUAUAUAAACAAAUAGGGUGUUUAUAUAAUCUAAAAUGAAAACCCAAUGUUGAAAUAACAUAAAUCAACGUGUAACCAAACAAGGUAUUUAUAUAGUCUAAAUUGAAAUACACACAUAAAACUAUGUGUUGAAAAAAUUCAUGACAUUCCCACAUAAAACGAAGAAUUUAUGACCGUUUAAAGAAGAUGAAAGAUUACGUAGGCUCUAGGUCAAAUUGAACCACCUUUCAUACAAUAUAGUCGAAAUACGGUUCAAUGGUAAUAUAGAAGAUGACCGGAGUUGUCACGUCAUAAGGUUGUAAUGUCAACAAUCCAAACAAGUUCAUAAGGAUGUAAUGUGAUCAAUCCAAACAAGUUCAAUGGUAAUAUGUGGAGAAAAAAACUUAAAUGACUAAAUGUGAACAAAACCUAAACUAUGUACCCUAUAUCAAUCGGUCAUAACGAUAUAAUGUGAACAGUUCAAACAGGUUCAAUGGUAAUAUGUGGACAAAAAGUAACUUAAAUGACUAAAUAUGAACACAACUUAAAUUAUGCAUGUUACCCUUAUAAGUUAUUAUCCAUUUCACGAAAGAAACUACACUGUGUCAUUGAAAGGAGAAUAUAUAUAUAUAUAUAUAUANNNNNNNNNNNNNNNNNNNNNNNNNNNNNNNNNNNNNNNNNNNNNNNNNNNNNNNNNNNNNNNNNNNNNNNNNNNNNNNNNNNNNNNNNNNNNNNNNNNNNNNNNNNNNNNNNNNNNNNNNNNNNNNNNNNNNNNNNNNNNNNNNNNNNNNNNNNNNNNNNNNNNNNNNNNNNNNNNNNNNNNNNNNNNNNNNNNNNNNNNNNNNNNNNNNNNNNNNNNNNNNNNNNNNNNNNNNNNNNNNNNNNNNNNNNNNNNNNNNNNNNNNNNNNNNGUUAUUGUCCAAGUUUUGAAAAAUUGAUGUAUCUUGUCAUUAUGUUUUUUUUUUUUUAAAAAACAUAAAGUUUUAUUCUCUUCAAGUACCAUCAACAUUGUUCCGUUAAAUAUAUAUAAAAACAUGUUUUUACCCUUAUAUUGAUCCAUUUUUUUGUUUUUAUUGUUACAAUAUUUAUUUAUUUUUUGUAAGCGUUUUUUAAUGUUUAUGUUAUUUGUAGAUUCAUUUGUUACUACCAUUAGCACCACCAACACGACCACAACCACCACCAAUAACCUCGUUCACCCCCUCCAAUCACCUCACUUUGAGAAUUUUUUGAUUAUCAUACUUUAUUUAUAAACAUGUCAUUUUCUUUGUAAUGUUCAUUUGAACUUACAUUGCGAAAUAAAAAUGGUAAUUCAAGUUGCACAAUAUUUCGACUUUGGCAACAUUUUACUAGAAAAGUAUUUAUUUUCAAUUUCAUUAACAACUUUGAAACGUCCAGAAAAUUACAAAUAGAUUUUGCGUUUUGAAAACAUAUUAACCGAUUAAGACCUUUAACUUAAAAACAAUAAGUGACAUUGAUUUGUUUGAAACCAUAGUGUUAUCAAUGUUGAAUUACAGGAAAGUGGAAAUCAGUAUCUUCGAUGCGUGUAUACAGUUCCGUCGAACUCUUCUCAUGAACAACUUGUAAAACAUAAAAUCCACAGUUGAAAGCAUAAGGUUUAAUGAGUUCCACAGUAUACCACAUAUUUCAUCAUAUAUACAAUGCAUCCACACAAAGUCAUCGGAUCUAAAGUUGACCUACAUGCUUUCCUUACCACAAGCAUACAUCACACAUAACGAGCCGAGCCCAAACAUACAUAACGGGCCCAACUCAAAGAGUAUAAAGGGCCUAGCCCAACGUACAAAAUGGGCCCCACCUACAUACAUAACGGGUCCUGCGCAUAUAACGGGCCCAAACCUAACUCAUAUAAUGAGCCCAACCCAAUGUACACAACAAGUCAAUUCCAGGGGCCAGAUCUCGGUCUUCCAUACAUAAAGGGCCUAGCCCAACUCAUAUAACGAGCCCAACCCAAUGUACACAACAAGUCAAUUCCAGCGUCCAGAUCUCGGUCUUCCAACUCAAAGAGUAUAAAGGGACUAGCCCAACAUACAAAAUGGGCCCCACCUACAUACAUAAUGGGUCCCGCCCAUAUAACGGGCCCAAACCUAACUCAUAUAACGAGCCCAACCCAAUGUACACAACAAGUCAAUUCCAGGGCCAGAUCCCGGUCUUCCAUACAAUACAUAAAAUCGUAUGUGGUCAGAGAUCAGAGAGACAAUAAAAUAGGUGGUCCACCCGAAAAUAAUAAAAUCAAACAAGAACCAUGCAAAUCAAGCUUUAGACAAAGAGUUCUCAGGCUAUCCAAUUUAACCGCCUACAACCAUUACAAGAAUUUCCCUAACCAACCAUGACACCUAAAAACAUCAUAUAGUCCACAAGCAAGACCCUACCAUUCAAGCAUACCAUGAGACUAAAUGUCCUACACUGCUCAAACCAACAUUAUCAUACAAUCAGUAUGCAAGGCCUUACCAGUCUAGCAUACCAUGACACCUAGUAUCCUAAACUAUGUAUGUAUAACAGAGAGUUAUCAUAGUCAACUAGCAUACUCGUACCCUAAUGGUACCUUUACCUAAUCAUGAAAAGGAUAUACAGUGUCUACAAUGUCAUACGUGGCAAGUGAGAAACUCACCUAAACCAAAGAAGCACAAUAACACUCUUACUCAUUGCACUGAUCAGAACUGCAAACCGACUAACACCAAAAACAGAACAAACCUCAGUUAACAACCCAAAUCCUUCAAAUUUGACCCAAGGUCAAACUGGUCAAAAGUCAAUGGUCAACGGUGAUGAGAUUAUGAUUCUCUUAGAUAGAUAGAUUCAAACAGAUAUUCAAGGAUAAUUACAAGAACAGAAAACGAUAAACACAAAUAUGAAUCAAACGUGUGUCGAAUGAUUAAUAUUCUCCACCUCAGAAGAAUUCAAUGUGAAUUGCUAUUGUAGAGGUGUGCUAGGGUUACAAUGCAAGAUCUGUGUAAAUAAUAAUCAAGAAGCAUCUUAAAUAUAAUGCAUGCAUGCACUAUAUAUACUUAAACCCUAAAACAAAACACGGCUGGACAGGCCCAGAUCGAGAGUACUAAUGGACCGAACAUAAAGCCCAAUGACGCAAUCUCUUGGACUCAACAAUCUCCCCUUUUGCGUCAAAUGGGGCGAGAGAUCACUUCGGUUAAGCAAUGGUAGUUUUCUUCAUAGUAUUGAACAGCUUCAGUAUGAGGGCAAGUAGAGUUUGACGAAAGUUGAUAUACCACCGAAGCAUAUCCGAAAACAGCUUCCUGUCUGUGUCACUGUUCUGAUCGCACCUGUAUAUGAUCUCAAGAAUAUGAUCCAAGCAUGAGGUGGAGAACAAAUGUUUGUCAGCAAGAGCGAACAAGAAUUUUUUUACCUUCACCCCUGGUGAACAUGACUGUGUGGAACCGAGGGUCGAUAUUUCCCUUCAACAUCACGUUGAUGUCGCUUGCCUUCCCAAUUUGUUUGAUAAUGGGCUUCUUUCUCAGGGUAGAGGCGAUCUCCUGACCCAUCUUCGCGACUUCAAGAAUAUAGCACACAAGCAUUCACUUGAUAUGAUCAAUGAUAGGCUCAUACUCUUGUUGAUUAGUCAGUAAAAUGUUGUUCAAGAGGAUCUAGUCAUGAGGAUUCAGAUUCGGUAGAUCAACAAAGGAGACCAUAUGGACCGAACUGUCUGAGCCGCGGGUCACUCUAAACUUGAUGUUGAUGAACUUCCCUGCCGAAGUGGGUUUCAACACCUUGACUAUUGUGAUCUUCUGAUUACUCAAAGUCAGGUAUUGCGGUUGAGAGAACGUAAAGUAAUAAUCGAUCAAAUCUCGAUCAACCUUCGGGUCAGGGGAAGGGAUGGCAACAAUUGACUCAAAACAAUGAAAGAUAAAUGCCUUUCGGGUGAUUGGCAUGUCAAACUGAGAAUCCUUAGAAUUUUCAAGAUUGAACGAAAGGACCAGCUCGAGCCAAUGUGUGCUUGGAGAUUCGAUUACCUCCUUCAGAAGUUUUUCCAUCGUCCAUAGAGGGAACAUGGGUUUCCUUCGUUCCAUGGCAUCGUUCACUUCUUUUAGUUUCUUCUCUCUUUAAAUUUCUUCAUUUGCCUUACGAAGCUUUUCCUCAAGCUCGCGUUCAUUUUGAUUGACUUUAAUAUUCAGUUUUAGAGGCUUUUCCUUCCAUUUCGAUCACAUCUUCGAUAUCAACCUCGUCAUCAUCACCAAAUUUCUUCUUUCAUUUUUACUUCAUACUGCCCGAAGCUUCAUUACCCUUCGGUUCAGCAGUGACUUUUGGUUAUGAGAUGGGUUUUCUUGUUGGAGGUUGUUGUGACUGACCCUGGCUAACAAUUUUCUUCUUUCGUUUUUCCUUCAUACUGCCCGAAGCUUCAUUACCCUUCGGUUCAGCAGUGACUUUUGGUUGUGAGAUGGGUUUGCUUGUUGGAGGUUGUUGUGACUGACCGUGAGUAACAUUUUCUCCCCCUUGUUUCGGAGGGACAACAGUCUUCGGAACACCCUGAAUCUUGCUAAGAAUGUCUAGAGCAGGUCUCAACUUCUCAGCCAAGUGACGUUGAAUCGAGAUAGUAAGAACUGAGUCAUGUGCUUCCAGAAGAUGCAGAGGAAUGGAAUGCACAUCACGAACACUGCUCUUGAUGACCGCUUGCUUUGACUUGAGUUCAUCAUUCUAUUUUAGGGCUUGGUUGAGCUUCAGAGCUUGAGUUUUGACUUUGGUGGUCUUGGGAUCCAGUUCAUCCAUGAGUUUGUUCUCCAUGGCUUAAUUGACAUGAAGUUUAUCAAGACACUGAUUGAUUGAAGAUUGAAACUCAGAGUAGUCGGAUUUGAUGGCGUGGCGUGCUUCCUCAAAAUUCUUCUUUUCAUCUUGAAGCGAGUUGGUAAGAGUAGCAACCAAAGCAUUCAACACCUAAGCAUUCUUUUAAGCUGCAGCCUAAAGAGAGUCAAGAAAAACAUGAGCAUCAAAAAUUAGUUUUUUGAUGUUUGCGGUCGUCUGCUUGCAAUCUUUUGUGGAUUCAUCAACUGCAAUAGAAGCUUUCUGGCAGGAAGAGGUAGAAUCGUAUAUAGCUUUAACAUCAUUAGAAAUAGUAGAGUCAUGCUCUUUGAAAAAGGUUGCCAAUAGAGCAUUGAUUGCAGCUUCUGAAUACGCCUAAGUUGGAGUGGAGGAGACAGAAGAGAGCAUAUGAUCAAGCUUGUCAUUCAGAUCUUUUAGAUGCCUCUUCAUGACUGGAUCAUCAUCAUCAUCAUCAUCAUCGCUUUGAACACGAUAUGGGCUAAAAUAAACAAAAUCAAACUCCAUUUCUGCUCUUUCAAGAACAGUGUCAUAUUCGUGUGAGGGAGGUGGGGAUAAAGGUUUUGAAGUAAUUGGUGGUUCAGAUUCUGAAGUAGGUACCCCCGUAUCCGAUACGCUAACACGAACUUGUGGUUGAGUGGUGGUGGUAGUGGUUGUUGUAACUGUUGGAUUAAUGUCUAAGUCCAUAACUAUAUUUGGUAUGUACUUGACCCGACCCGGCAUGGUCCAUUUGGGUUGCACUUCACCGACACAAUUUAUAUGGAUAAUCUUUUGAGAAUAGUAUGUUUAUGAUUAAUAUUAAUAUAUUAUAAGUUCUAAUAUAUUAAUAUGGAAUCAUAUUAUUUAAUUAGUAUUGAUCAAGAAUUAAUUUAGAAUUAAUUAAGUGAUCAAAAUGAACUAAUUAAAUAUGGACUCUUGUAUAUAUGGAAUGGGCCAAGUUCAUUUAGGUUGAGCUAAGCUUUCAUGGAUAGUCCAUGGAGUGUUUAACCCAUGGAUCAUAUGAAAUGAAAGGUCAUGGGUUUAACCCUAUUCUCCAUACUAUAUAAAGAUGUCCUUGGUUGGUGAAAUUGGCACUAGUGUGGAUACACUAAAAAAGGGCUAGCCAAUUUCACUAGAGAGAACCAAGUAAUCAUAUUCUCUAAAGUAUUCCAAGGUGUCUUGGUGAUUUGUGAUUCCACUUGAGGCUUCCACACUAUUGGGGCUAAGCUCUUAAAGCUUGAAGACAUCAAGCUACAUCAAGAGGUAUGUAUUCUAUCUUGUUACAUUCAUAGUUUUUGUAUGCUAGAUUAGGAUAAUACCUUGGAUGUUCUUAUUUGCAUGUAUAAUAGAGAAAACAUAGAUCCAAGGUAUUUAGGGUUGCAUGUACACUUAGGAAGUGUUAGAAUGCUCAAAACCCAACAGUGGUAUCAGAGCCACGGGUUGUUUUCUGUUAUAUUGAUGCAAAUAUUUUAUUUUCAAAGUUGAAAAAAAAAAAAAAAAAAAACAUGAAGUUUGUCAAAUUUUAAGAUAAUUACUUGUUCUUGUGAAAAACUAAUUAUUUGUAAAAUUUGAAUAAUUUGCUUUAUGAGUUGAAUUAGGUCAAAUUUAAUAAAAGAUAAAAUAAUAUGAUUAUUUUAUUAGUUUUAAAAGUUUGAUCUAAAGAGUUUUAUUUUUUGAAACCUCCAUAAGUUAUGGAUAUGAAAAGGUUUUAAAAAAAAAAUUGAUUCAAAGUUUUUUUGGAGUUACAAAAUUUGGUGUUAAUGUUUUAAAGGAUUCCAUAACUUAAGAAUAAGUUAUGGAUCACCAAAAGUUUUUUGUGUUACCUUGUUUUAUGAGUGAAUUUAGAUUAAUGAAUAAAAUUAUGUGAUAGUUGGUUUUAAUCCAAAUUAAUCUAAGAAUUGAUUCUAAAAUGUGUUUUUGUAACUUGUCCUCAAGUUAUAUGAAAAGUCACAUUUAAGAAUCAUAAAACUCAUAAAAAUUGGCAAAGGUUACAAAAAUGAAGAGUCUAGUUCUAAUUAAAUGGUUUUAUGACUCCAUAACUUGUCCUCAAGUUAUGGAGGACCAAGAGUCUCUUCAUUUAAUAAAAUAAAAUAAAAAAAAAAAAAGUGUAACCUUAAUUAAUUCCAUAAGUUAUAAAAUAAAGAAAAGUUAAUUCUUUUAUUAGUUUAAAGUCUUCCAUAACUUGUCCUCAAGUUAUGGAACUUGAAGAGUUUUUGGAUUAAAACUACUUUAAACACAUAAGUUAUGGAAUUAAUUAGUUUUGAAUAGUUUCAAAACUUGCCCUCAAGUUUUGGAAUUUGUAAAGUUUUCACUUAUGAAUACUUUAAUUCCAAGUUAGCCCUUAGAAUUUUAAAAGUUAAAAUUCAACCCUUAUACUUUAUAAUAUUAUAAGUUAAUAAUAUAUAUAUGUAUAAGAGUAAAGUCAGUCUUACCGCUAGUACGCCUCAUUCACGAAGCCGGUCUAUAAGGUGGGUAUAAGGUUGUUGCCUAUAAAAUGGCAACUUAAUGGGUGUCCACUCUCACCCACCGCUUGCUUGACUGGUGGAGGGUCGUUAGCCGAACGGGUUUGACAGGACUAGAAUUCUCCCUUCAUUAAAAGUAUUAAUGAUAAUACUAAGUAACUAAACUCUUAAUAAUACCCAAUCUUAGUUACUUAGGAAAAAUGUGAAUAAGGUGCUAAUCCAUGAAAUUACACUUUACACUUUGUCUAAGUCGUUAGUGGAGCGUGUGUGGUUAACCGGCACACUAACUUGGACUUAACAAGGUAGGUAAAGGGUGACUUAAUAUUUAUCAUAGUAUCGAUGGAGCGUGUGUGGUUAACCGGCACAUCGAUUGAGGGGUAAUUUAUUAAGGGUACCAAGUGAUUUGCAUGGUUACUUCACACCUUGUUUUGUGAUCCUCGGCAUCCCAGUCACAAAACCUGAAGGGCACACUCGAGAUUGAAACAUGCCUUUGAAAAGUUCAAUGAAUCUCAAAGAUCUAGGAGUUUCAAAACCAAUUAAAACCUAAUAAUACAUUUCGUUUAUCUUGGUGGAAAUUGGUGAAUCGUCAUUCACCUACCUUCAAAUAUUUUAUAGCUUGGAUUACGGCAUACCUCUUCUAAGUUAUAAAAUAGUUUGUUGGGUCCUAGCCUUAAUAUUUCAUAUUGGGUGUCAUAUUAAGGACUUUAAAUCAACUAUCUUGAAUAUCUCCCAAAAGAUGUCUGGUUUAGACACCUAUGAUCUUCCCAAAUCUCUUGAAACAAGGUUUCCUAAUGAAGAUGAUGUCCCAUGGAUAUCAUACUUCUUCACCUCUUCAAAUUAUUCUCCCUAACCCACAAGUUCUUGAAAAGUUUAAGGUCACUCAGGCCCUUUUGGCAAGGCAAGGUCUAGGUGUGGUCACAUCUUGGAGAUGUAGUCACAUAUUGACAAGCCGGGAGAGUUGGGUGUCAAAGUCUUGAGAAAGUUGGUGGUUCAACUACUUUCUAAGUCACAUAGUGAGUUCUUUUGGAACACCUAUGAAAAAGACUAUGACAAGACCCUUAAUGAUCUUAUCUAUUUGUUAAGAUCAACUUCCUAAAACUUUAUGGACAUUGACAAUGAUGACAUUGGAUAUCCAGUAAAGCAUUCUCUUCCCAAUGGAAAGGGAUCGGCUAUAGUCAACUCGGUUGACCAAAUGGUAAAGAGAAAAGCUAAGUCUGUGAUAGUCCUGUGUACCAUUAUCAAAGGGUCCAUAUGUUUGUAUUGCCAAAGAAAGGGCAUUGGUUGCGAAGCUGCCAAAUUUACCUAAGGAUGUUAAAGUCAAUAAGUUUGACUCUACUUCAGGUAAAAUCCACUAUCUAACUCUGUUAAGUUUCUAUUCUGAGAUUCUUGAUACAUGAUGUGACCGGGUCGCAUGGUGAUGGUUUAAGAAUCAAAGGAAAGUGAAGAAACUUAAAGGAAGAAUAUGCUGAAUCUGAUCGCAUAGAUGGAUUUCUAUCGCAUAGUUUGAAAAAUCGGAUUCUUGAGCUACUUCUUAGGAGUUAUGAGAUAUUGCUUAGGAAUAGAUAACAACAAGUUUUCAUAUGGAUUGUAAGGAUAGUUUUUCCGCAAAGUUUUAAAAUAAAAGGAAAUUUUUGAUUUUAUUUAUUUUAAAAUAUCCUUACAAUGGCAUCUGUGGAAAUUUUUGUUGCUUAUAAGAUUCCAUUAGUAGCAAGAGUGGAAGUAUGAAAUUGAUUCUUUCAUUUGUGGUAAUGUCUAAAUUUACCAAAUAAGGAAAGAUUCUCAUCACCCAAGUUUCAAUUGGACCGGAACUUGGAAUCAUGCAAGUUGUAUAGCAUGAUGAAUGAGAACUUUCAAGUUUUGGAAAAUUAAGACUAAUUACUUGUUCACAUGGAUGUGUGAGUCAAGUAAAGGACUUAGGGAUCGAGUACACAUUCUUGUGCACUGAUUAAGUCCACCACUAAAGAUCGAUAAGAAGAAUCAAAUAAGGCAGAAGGAUAAAAGUUUCUCAAAUCUGAAAAGAUGGGAGAGUACUUUAGUAUCAGUUUUGUGAUCAUCUUAAUGAUUAAGAAACCAUAUCAAAAUUAGUUCUCUAAGGAAAUCUUAGUGCAUUCUUAUGACUAAGAAGAGGAACUUGAAUUGUUGAAAUGGUUAAAUCAAGAAGAUGAGUCAUACUUCGUUCCAAUACAAGUCUUAGAGUCAUACUCCAAGAUUGUCAUUUGAGUGACAUGUCUUAAAGAAGGUUUAAAACACUUGUCAAAUGUAAGAGUAAAAGUUUUCUACUCUUGUACAUUUGAAAUUGGUAAGUUGUGAUGUUUUGGAUAAAACAAAGACCAACUUAGGCCAAUUGGGUAAAGUGUUUUUCUUGAUUAGAAUCCGCACUAUCUCUUGGAUGUUUGACAAGGGAGUCUUAUAUGUCAAGAGGACAGUGGGAGUCUUAAAGGUCUUGAAAGUCUCAAGAACUAAUCAAGAAUAAAACCUGAAGUUCUUCACUAGCACACGACUUGAGGUUUAUAACCUAUCGUGUUGACAUAUUCUGUGCCCAUUCCAGUUAAAGUUGGCUUUGCAUAUGAGUUCUUAGAGUUCUCAAUUGGUUGCAUAACAACUUGGAAGCAAUGGUAGGCCCUUGAGCUGCCAGGUGGCAAGAAAUUAAGAUUGAGUUCAGUCCAUAUGAGUUUGGAUUUGUCAUUAUCCUUGUCUUGUGACUAUGAUUUUGACAAUUCACAUGGAUAAGAACACAUACACCAUUAAAUCUAAGUGUCAUAAGGUUUCUCUCCGAUUCAUGAAAAUGAUGGUGAGGAAACACUUUCACUAAGUAGAUUUUAGCUAGAUAGCAAUUGUGAUAUUUGCAUUCUCAAAGUCGUUAGUGGAGCGCGUGUGGUUAACCGGCACACUAAUUUGGACUUGUGAGAAGUGGCAAAAAGGUCUAAACAUUAUGAUUACGGCAUCCCUCUUCAUAAUUGUUUAGAUACACAAGUGUGCUAUCUAAGGGAAGGUGUAUGAUUUUGAUAAAGUUUUAUCAAAACAAUCUAGUAUCAGAAAUCUGAACUUUGGUAAGAAAGUCAAUGAAGUAUUGAUUUCUAGAAGUCCAGCUGAUUUCUGAGUACAUGUCAAAGCUAGUGGGAGCAUAAGUGUUAUGCUAAUAAUCAUCAUGUUAGUGGGAGCAUGAUAAUUAUGAUAAGUAUUGCAAGUUAGCAAUGUUAAUUAUAGAAAACAAAAGUUUCAAUUGGGAAAAAGUUGUUUUGCUAUAAUUAAGGGAGAGGAAAUUAUACUUCAUCUCAAAUCUAUAAGCUUAGAUCGUGAGGUUUUAAUCAUUUAGUCAAGGAUAUAUAUGAAUUUCAUGUUGGAAUGGCUCAACAUAAGGAAAUUCUGUAUAUGGGUCCAUUAUUUGCGUUCUAAAAUUCGAUUAUGAUUACGGCAUCCCUUUUCAUAAUCUGAAUUAUGAGAACUUGGCAAAUUGAAAUGGAAAUGUUAUAGCAAAAGACUGGUUUAGUCUUUAUGUGAGACAUCAUGAAUCGUGUCCCAUAUGCUUCGGAUAUAGGAUCGAUUACAUGUGCUAUAUUCAUCCGUUCUAAAAUUUUCCAAAUGCCUGGGGCAUUAAGAAGGGAAAAGGUUUAGAACUGGAUAUGACUAAAAGGAUUAAACAAUUGUCGAGGACAAUCUAAGGUUUACCAAAGAUUGGUUGCUCAAGGACAGUUGGAAGUAUAGUGAUAAUUCUGGAAGGACCAUAUUGACAUAAUCUGUAAGGAGGCAACUCUUGUUCAGAAGUGAUAGUCAAAAUGGAAUCUGGAAAUGUUUCAAAGUUAGAAUUUUCAAUCUGUUUAAGAUUAGGAAACUUAAUGCAAGAAGGAUGUUUCCAAGGAGCUGAUCUCCUUUGGAAUACUCUGUAAUGUUUGUUGUCAAGUCUUUAUGACUUUGUGCAUAAUCAUUACAAGAGGAUCAAUGCAUAUAAGUUUAGAAUCUAACAGAUUUCAGUAAAUGGCAUGAAUUUGGAAUUCUUGCAUUUGCAGUAAGGAUUUGGGAGUGUGAAAAGAGAAUCAUUGAAGUUAUGUUCAAUUGAUCUAGUUCACAAAGUAAAGAUCAUAGACAAACAUAGUAUGCAUACUUGGUGUGUGGCAUGACUAGUGUUUAAGAAAACAUAGUGUACAUGCUUGGAGCAUGGGACAACUAUUGUUUUAAAUUCAAGAAUAAAGUUGAUAGCUGAAACAGUAUACAAUGAAUAAUGUGUAAUCAUAUGGUGAUAAAUAAAAGGUGUUUUAUUUAUGUUCAAAGAUUUGAUACCAUAUUGGAUUCAAUUAUUAUUGUGUUUCACUUUGCAUGUUUUGACUUCCCGAAUAAACUAGGUUAUUCUUCCGGAAUGACUAAGUUAUUCAAACCAUCCACAGUCGGUCAUAUGUUGGAAGUAGAUAUGAAUUAAGACUGUCAUGGGUUGGCUUGUAGAGGUCUAAGGUGUUGGACAAAGGGCUACAACACUCAUGAGUGCUCAUAAGUUCUGAGUAUUGGAUUCAACCCGCGCUCAUUGGAAUCACUUCAUGGAUUUUAUCACGAGUGAUCAUGAGACGAUAAUAUCUUAUAUUCUUCAAACCUAGAGAUAUGAGUUGUUACUAUGAGUUGAUAGUACAUUGAUUGCACGAAAACGCAUACGGUAACUCGGUGCUAUAAAACGUGCCUUUGUGUAUGAUUCAACAAGUAGUAGAACAAGCCAUAUGAGUCGAAGUUUAUCCGUUCCUUUUACCUUCGGGAUAAAAGCGAUAUCUGUGGGCCCCUCGAUGAUUUGAUGAUGACAAAUGGAAGUGCUCGGCCGGGCCAGGACUGAUUUGAUUUGUUCAAUUAGUCAGUCGUCAUAAAUCGGAAAUCGGGAAACAACAAAUGGACAGAGAGAAUGAUUAUAAUCCAUGUCUCAGUCCAUAUGAUAUCUAGAAUGGAGGAAUAUAUGAUCCCUUAUCUAAUGGACAAGUUCGUCUACAAGAUCAGAGUUCGACAGCGGCUUUAAGAGCUACGAUUGCCAGUUAGGUUUGAAGUCAUACGCAAUAAUAGUUUUAGACUUAUCCAAGUGGGAGACUGUUGGAUUAAUGUCUAAGUCCAUAACUAUAUUUGGUAUGUACUUGACCCGACCCGGCAUGGUCCAUUUGGGUUGCACUUCACCGACACAAUUUAUAUGGAUAAUCUUUUGAGAAUAGUAUGUUUAUGAUUAAUAUUAAUAUAUUAUAAGUUCUAAUAUAUUAAUAUGGAAUCAUAUUAUUUAAUUAGUAUUGAUCAAGAAUUAAUUUAGAAUUAAUUAAGUGAUCAAAAUGAACUAAUUAAAUAUGGACUCUUGUAUAUAUGGAAUGGGCCAAGUUCAUUUAGGUUGAGCUAAGCUUUCAUGGAUAGUCCAUGGAGUGUUUAACCCAUGGAUCAUAUGAAAUGAAAGGUCAUGGGUUUAACCCUAUUCUCCAUACUAUAUAAAGAUGUCCUUGGUUGGUGAAAUUGGCACUAGUGUGGAUACACUAAAAAAGGGCUAGCCAAUUUCACUAGAGAGAACCAAGUAAUCAUAUUCUCUAAAGUAUUCCAAGGUGUCUCGGUGAUUUGUGAUUCCACUUGAGGCUUCCACACUAUUGGGGCUAAGCUCUUAAAGCUUGAAGACAUCAAGCUACAUCAAGAGGUAUGUAUUCUAUCUUGUUACAUUCAUAGUUUUUGUAUGCUAGAUUAGGAUAAUACCUUGGAUGUUCUUAUUUGCAUGUAUAAUAGAGAAAGCAUAGAUCCAAGGUAUUUAGGGUUGCAUGUUCACUUAGGAAGUGUUAGAAUGCUCAAAACCCAACAGUAACAUCAAUGAAUAAAGGAGUGGGAAUUGGAAUUGAGGUUGUAGUGGUUGUAGAAAUGGGUGGAGGACAUGAAACAGUAGUAUUUGGAACUGAUUGGGUAAGAGAAAGAGGAGGUGAGUUUCGGUAACCUUCAUGAUCUGGUGAGGGAGGAUGUGAAUUACCUCUAAGUCAUCCUUCGUGUUAAGAGACAUCAUCAUCACCAGAUUCGGGUUCAGGCUGUGGAUCAGAUGGAACAUAGUCCGAGUCACUCGAUGAAGGAGCCUUUGGUUUGUAGGCCUUCUACUUAGUCUUUCGUUUCUUUGGAGCCGAAGGAGCAGCUUGCUCAGGCUUUCGCUUCUUGGGAGUUGAAACUUUAGAGGAUUGACCUUCCUUUUCCCCUUUCUUUUCAGGCUUCUUCCCUUAUUUCGCUGGUUUGUCUGCUGCGUCCAGCGAACUUUGCAUUUUAGGAUUAAGUUGCCUUGGUCCUGAAGGGGGGAGAUCCUUGUACUCAUUCAUCAGUUUGCUUUCAGCGGACACACAACGAUACAUUGGUUCCGAAACAGAACUAAUAAAUAUGAACUUUGAUGGAUCAGAAAUGAUUAUCUUCGUCGUGUGAAAGAUAGCAAUUGAUGGCAUUAAGGAAUCAACCAUUGUUGGAACUUGAAAUUUCUCCAUCGCCCAGUGAGUGACUAGAGUCCAAAACCUAGCACAAGAGAUUUCAGAGUAGUGAGAAGCAGAACUGAGAUUUUGAACCAGUUGCGACCAUAAGAUGGAUCGAAUGUCCAUGUUAACCCCAUGGUACAGACCAUAAAGAAGGGUCAUCAACGCCUUGCUUGCCCCAUCUGAACCAGCAACCCUCUUCGAAAAGCCUUUGAAGAGGAGGGUAAAAAUUCCAUUCCACUGAGGAGGAAGGAACGACUUCUUGAAGUUUGUAACAGUGGUGAGAACCUCAGUAUACCCCAUAUCAUAAAACAUUGAGAAGAGUUGAGUAGUAGAAACGGUAACAAGGUUGAUCAUGGAAUCGUCGAUAGCCAUCCUUAGUAACAAGCAGAAUCGAGUUUUGUAAAUCGGCGCUUUGUGAUUGAAGAUCCCAAAGAAGAUCCUCUCCUUGACCUUGUCAUAGACAACAGUUGAGUAGACUUGAGAAAGUAACGACAUUGGAACGUACUCCACCUUGGUUAGUGCAACAACAAGUGGUGAAUAUUUGAGGCAUUCAACCACUUGCAGCAUAUAUGGAUCACACUGGAACGGUGAUAGAUCAAUGAUGAGGUUCUGAUUUGGUUUGAUUGUGAGAAGAGAUGACUGGGCACUUUGUUCAUGAACUGAACAGGAAUCCGCCAUUGAUGAUUCUUGAAGAAAAAGAUGAGCAAUAGAGAGAGAAUACGUCGUAUAGCUCUUGAGAGGAUUUGGAAGUGAUAAGAGUAUAAACGGAAAUUGAGAAAUCGCUUUAUACCAUUACCAUGUGAGAGAAAAAUCUAGAGUGAUGGGUGCACAAUCCGCUGAUGUAUCGCCUGAAAAAGCGCGAUUUGACAAUUGUUGCCCCGAAAAGUGUGUCAGGAGGAGUGAGAAUGGAAACGAUUCAAUUUCAUGCGCCUUUAAAACCUUAUCCUUUCAUCUUUUCUUUAAAUUUUGAAAUGAUCCAAAUUCCCUAUGAGAUGUCGAUUCAUCCUUUCGCUUCAUAUAUAUUUACUCUUCGCUCUUAAUAGAGUGUAUGACCACAACAAAUUGAACCAAGCGCUGUAUUUGAGAAUUACCAGUUUGUACCACGAUCAAGACUUGUGAAAAAUGAUAAAGAUCUUCAUGCAAGAGUGUGCCAAUCGAAAAGAUAUAGAGAAAAUUAUUUUUGGGAUUUAAGUGAUGUCUAUAUAGACAUGAAACUAUGGAUCCCGUGCACGAAUCGCUUCCUUCAAAGUCAAGAGAGACUUAGAAGUGUCUGUGUGGUUUCCCGUUGAUAUAUGAUCAAAUGCUUAUUAAGAAACAUUUAAAGGCAUAUUUUCAAAUCUAAGCUAUAAUGGGUGGCUUCGCUUCAACCAAACUUCAGUACUUAACAGAAGACCGAAAGUUGGAUGAAGUACCUGUGAGACCAGUGUGGCCUGUUGAAUAAGUAUGUGAGAUAAUAUAUUCAGUGACUCAGUGAGAGUGAUGUUGAAAUCUUAAAAAAAUAAUAAUAAUAAAAACUGGAUCUUUUGGGAAGAAAAAUCAUGGUGUUAGACAAUUCAAAAAGAUCUCACAAAAAUAAAAAGAUUUUAAAGUAUAGACCGUCAAUUCGUUUAAGGCAUUGGUUUUCGAGUCUCACUUAGCACGUGGUGAAACGAAACUAAGAUCAUCAACACAGAUGUUGUGUAACCAUAAACCUCAGUGGUAGAUGCUGAGAGUCUCAAGGGUUACGAUUAUGAACCGAAAUGAGAUGAAGAAAUAAGAGUGCUUGGUUAAAGAACCAUAAGUAUCACUGCUAUUUAAAAGGGACCAAGAAGAUAACUUUUAACUUAAUGUGGGAAGAGUAAGGUAGCUCAUGAAUUCAGUGAUUUUAUCAGCCUAAUUGGGAAGAAGUGAUUGCUAUAUAUCGAAUCAGUAAGGCUUCACUCAAAGUCUUGGAGGCUUUGGUCGACAUGCAGCAACAUGCUUCUAGAGACACUUAGCUAGUAUAUAGAUAAAGAAUGUUAUACCUUCCCCAGUCUUCAUCACAAAAAGAAAAUAUUUUUGGAUUUUAUAAAAUCUUUCUGAAAAAUAAAUAAAAACAGAAAAGAAAAUAUUUUUGAUUUUUGUGAAUUUUCUGAAAAAGAAAUAAAAACAUAAAAGAAAAUAUUUUUGAGUUUUGUAACUGAAUUGAAGGCAUAAAGUAAAGUAAUCAAAAGAUAUACAAAGUAUACAAAAGAUAUGUAAGAUCCAAACCAUAAGAUGUAACAAUCGCUCUUUUUGAAAAAAUAUAAAAGGCAAAAUAGACCGAGCCUUCGGUUCAUUUCGGUUCCACAAAAAUUAGGAGCCGGAAUAGACCGAGCGUUCGGCUCAUAUCGGUUGUUAGAGAAUUUUUAUGAAAGCGAAAGCGAAAGUUAUACUUAAUGAAAUGAUUGUGGUUUUGGAACUGAUUCAGCUUCCAUCAUUUCUAAGCCUUGUAGUAUUUUAUUAAACGAUGCUUCAGGAAAGGCCUUAGUAAAGAUGUCAGCCAAUUGAUCAGAGGACCGAACGAAGUGAAUUUCAAAAUUCCCAUCUUCUACAUGAUCCUUGAUGAAUUGAUAUCGCAGUGCUAUGUGUUUCGUCUUGGAAUGCUGCACUGGAUUAUGACAGAUUUUGAUGGCGCUUUCAGACUCGCAAUAAAGAGGAAUCUUCUUCAUAUUUAGGCCAUAAUCUCUUAAUUGACUUUGGGUCCAAAUGACCUGGGAAGUGCAAGAUGCUGCAACAAUAUAUUCAGCUUCGACUAUGGAUAGUGAAACACAUGUUUUUUUCUUGGACUGCCAGCUAACAAGUUUACAAUCUAGUAAUUGACAUCCCCCUGUAGUGUUAUUUCGGUCCAAACCGCAUCCUCCAAGAUCGGCAUCAGAGAAUGCUUGUACGAAAAAUCCCAAUUUAGCAGGAUACCAUAGACCGAUAAAAGUGGUUCGCUUCAAAUAUCUGAAGAUGUUCUUAACAGCCACCAUAUGAGGUUCGCGUGGAUUAGCCUGGAACCUAGCAUAGUAACAAACAGAAAACAUAAUGUCUGGUCUACUAGCUGUUAGAUACAUUAGAGAACCUAUAAUUCGCCGAUAGAGAGUCAUACCAAUAGCCGGUUUCUCCAAAGAUGGUGUUAACUUCGUUCCAAAUGUCAUAGGAACCUUUACUUUGGAAUCUCCCAUCAUGCCAAACUUUGCUAGCAGUGUCUUCGUGUAGGCCUCCUGAUUAAUAAAUAUGCCUUCAGGUCCCUGUCUAAUAUUCAAGCCAAGGAAAAAGUUAAUUGGACCUGUUGAACUCAUCUCAAACUUAGUCUCCAUCAACUUCCUGAAUUCAGCUGUUAGACUGGGAUUUGCGGAACCGAAGAUGAUGUCAUCAAUGUAAAUUUGGACGAUCAUUAAGUGGUCACCCUCUUUCUUGUGAAAGAAGGUUGGGUCAACCGAACCUUGUUUAAACUUGGACAUUUUUAGAAAUCAAGUAAGGGUUUCAUACCAGGCUCUAGGAGCUUGCUUUAACCCAUAGAUGACUUUAUCCAGAAUAUAGUAGUGACCAGGAUACAUUUCAUUCAAGAAACCUGGUGGUUGCUCAACAUACACAGUUUCCUCUAAUUCUCCAUUCAGGAAUGCACACUUGAUUCGCACUGAUUCUAACCUUGCUACAGGGGCGAAGGUUUCUUCAUAGUCUAUACCUUCUUCCUGACAGUAUCCCUUUACAACCAACCUUGCUUUAUUACGAAUCACAUUCCCUUCUUUGUCCAUUUUGUUUUUGAAAACCCAUUUUAAUCCAACUACGGAUGCGCCCUUUGGUGUGGGAAUUAAUCUCCAAAAUCGAUUUUGCUCAAACUCAUGGAGUUCGUCUUGCAUUUCCUGUACCCAAUCUGAGUGAUCGAGUGUAAUAUUAACCGUUUCGGUUCUAUUUUUGAGAAGAAUGAGUUAAACAUGCAAAAUUCUACUUGAGAGAACAGAGCAGUUUGCUUCACUUUAAUAUGAGACUGAGUGAGGACUCCCUCAGAUGAUUCACCAAUUACUUGAGUUUUUGGAUGAUCUCCUGUCCAUUUUGUGAGAGGAGGGUAGUUUGGAUCAUAGGUGGGAUUCAAUUCGGCAUUGAUUUCCUUGUCCAAUUCUAAUUGAAAAUCUGAAUCAUCAUUCGUAUUAUGAUUCUCCCCCUCGAAUGAUGAGACGAUUUCAACAUCAGGAUCAGAAUGAUCCCCCUCGAAUAGGACGUCAUGAGUCUUUGCUUGUGAUGGAUUUUAUCCCUAGAAAGACGAAUCAGGGUUAUCUGGUGUGGAUGAACCCUCCCCCUGGAAUAUAGAGCUUUCUUUUGGAGGUUCGCUUGGACCUGGCUGUUCGGUUGGUCUUUUAUGUUCACUUUCCAUUUCUCUUGUUGCUUCAUCGAUAAUAUUCUUCAAGUUGUCAAUCUUGUUGUCAGCUGCCUUUGUCUCAGAAUUAAUUUCUCUCUCUGGUUCGUUAAAGAGCAACAUGUAUUCUUUAAAUGGAUUGGAAAUUGGGACCUAGACUUGACCAGAUGCUGGAAAGAUUUCCUCUGUUGGUCCUUUACUUGACUGAAGUUUCUUCACAUAAUCAUCAUCAAAAGUGACAUAAUAGGUUUCUUCAAUUUUCUUUGAAUGCUUAUUCAGAACCUUAUAAGCCUUUGAAGUUAGUGAGUAACCAAGAAAAAUCCCUUCAUCUGCCUUUACAUUGAACUUGUUUUGGUUCUCUUUGGAAUUGAAAAUAAAGCACCUUGAAUCGAACACAUGGAAGAAUUUGACGUUUGGCUUGGGAUUAUUCAAGAUUUCGUAUGGAGUGAUGGAAAAGCGCUUAUUGAGGAAGGAUCAGUUUUGGGUAUAGCAGGCAAUAGCUAUUGCAUCAGCCCAAAAGUACAAAGGUAAGGAAGUGAAGCUAAGCAUGGUUCGGGCUGCUUCACACAAAGAGCGGUUUCACCUUUCAACUAUGUCGUUCUGUUGUGGAGUGUAGGGAGCUGAGAAAUUGUGAGAUACUCCCUUAUCAACAAGAAAUUCUUCGAACUCUUGAUUUUUAAAUUCCAACCCGUUGUCACUUCGGACGUUUCUAACCACCUUUUGCAGUUGAAGUUCCACUUGCUUUAUAAAUACUUUAAGCUUUUGAGUCGCCUCUGAUUUCGGUUUAAGAAAGAAAACCCAAGUGAAACGUGAAAAGUCAUCAAUAAUUACCAAAAUAUACUUACUACCACACAUGUUUUCGAUCGCUUAAGUACCACACAAGUCGACGUGUAGAAGUUCAAGUGGUUCAACGAUCUUUGUGUUAACACGUGUGGGAUGACUCUUUCAGCUUUUCUUUCCCAUUUCUCAUGCAACGCACACGUGUUCCUUAUCAAAUUUGAGAGGGGAAGUCCUCGUACAUGAUCACCGAUAACCAACUUGUUGAUAUCCUUAAAGUUGAGAUGUGAGAGCCUUCGGUGCCAGAGCCAAUUUUCAUCAGAGUGUGAUUUUGAAAAAAGGCAUACAACUGGCUUUCCUCGAAUUGGGUUAUGAUUUAGAGGAUACAUCUCUCAUUUUCUCUUGGAUUUUAACAGGAUAGUCUUCGUCUUCUUUUCAACAAUCUCAGAACCUUCAUCAUCGAAUGAAACUUUCAAGACAGUUCCUACGACCAGUUGAGAGACGCUUAUGAGAUUGUGUUGUUAUCCCUCUACAUAUGCUACCUUUCAGAAUGAGAAUUCUCCGUUUGUAAUCAUUCCUUAGCCUUUGAUUGUGCUAUAUGAAUUAUUCCUGUAUUUGACACAUCCACCAUCCUUAAGGGACCGAAACUCCCUUAGCUCUCCCUUCCUUCCUGUCAUGUGACGUGAGUAACCACAAUCAAUGUAUCAUUCGUCGUCGAACUGCUCGUCACUAAUAACUUGCAAAAUUUAAGCAGAUUUAGGAACCCAAAGUUUCUUGGGUCCUCGUGAUCCUUUUACAGGACAAGGAAUGGCAGCAAAAAGAUCAACCAAAUAUGUUCUUUUUAUUAACGUGGUUUCAUCUUUUCUUUUGAUGGUAAAAACUUUGAUUUUGUUGUUUUCUUGUUUCGGUAUAUCUAAAGCCGACUAAUUAUUUUUGCUUUGAUUCUCAUUUAAACUUUUCUUUUGAUUCCUAGGGUUAGCUAACGUCUUCUUGGCAUGAACUUCAGGGUGCAAGACUAGCUUUCCCUUUCCUUUGAUAUCCUUAACUGGGUUCAACUUCGGUUGUUGAUUGACUUUAGGAGUGAAGCUAGUCUUUUGGUUCUUAUUACUGCUCGAUUCAACACCGAAACCAUUUCUUCAGUUUGUUUGGCUGCAAGACUGAUACUGAGUACAUGGACCUUUAUUUGUCUGAGGGCUUACUUUCGUCUGUGGAUUCGAUACCUUGUGAAUGUGAUUAGCAUUUUGAGAAUUACAAAACUGUUUUCUCUCUUUGAGAUUCUUCUGGUACCUUCUGUUCCUUUGAUGUGUUUGCUCAGCAAGUUGUUUUUGAGAUAUGUGAAUUUUUGUAUUUGGUUUCGGUUCUUCUUUACGAGCUUUGCUUGGAGAUGAUUCUAUAGAUGCCUUUUCCGGAUCGUCUUGAAUUUCUUUAGUACCUCUUGUACUUGGCUUAUCAAAGCUUGAAGGCUUGUUGAGAGGUUCAGCCACAUAUCUACCCUUGACUCUCCACGAGGUUUGUUCCGACAGACCUACUGUUUCACAUCCAUCAGCAUUUUCUUCAUCUACCAAAGAAGUUAGCUCAACUGUUUGCUUUUUGGUAACUCUAGUGGUGGCAUAUACUUGAUUCGGUACCGUUUGCACCUUUUUGUAUACCACUGCCUUUUCUUUAAGGACUUUGGACUUGUCCUUGGACAUACGAGCGAAAGCAAUCGAGUUUUCAGAUAUGAGAGGUUUUGCCGGUUUGGGUUCGCUUUUUAGGAAUUCAGAGCAGUCAACCUCAUCACAUUCAAAAUUUUCAGUCAUAUAACUGUCCUCAUCAAAUUCAGAAGUAGUUUCCACAUUCAUCUUAUUUCUGAACUUAAUUUGGUAAUCAAUGAGUCAAAUUUUUGCAUGGUUUCGGUCUUUAUUUUUAAUUUGUCAUUUUCGUCCAAUAGAUUCCUAAGCAUGUCCUUAUGGUAUUUGGACUUUAUAAAGGACUCAAUUUUGUCUAGACCAAUCCUGUAAGCAUCCGAAACCUCAUCUGAUGAGACAAUAAAUUCACAAUUGUAGCAAUCUACAUCAACUUCAUCCUCCUUAAAUUCAAGAAAUGGCAAAAUCAUUUUGUGAACCUUUUUGCCAAUAUCACAAUUCAAAUGUAACUGAGUAAUAUUAGUGUAAAGACGUUUAGCUAUUAAACAAAAAACAUUCCGUUGUUUUAAAAACUUCAAAUUGUCACGUUGUAAAUAAAUUAACUCAUCUCUCAUUCUAACUAAAUCUAACUCCGUCUUCUCGAUCCUCAUCCUUCGCUCCUCACUCUUGGAUGUCACCCUACUAAGUCGAUCGUUUAAGUUAGCAUUUGUGAGGCGUGUUUGCAUUAAACUUCCACUUAAAUUAGAAAUUUUGAAUUUUAAUUCGUUUAAUUCCUUUUCAUAGGUUGUUACAGGUAUUUUAGGUGAUUCUAGAAUGGAUUGUACCUUCUUGAUCAACUGAUUGCAGUCAUUGAUCCUUUCACUCACAAGCUUGGCUGCAAAACACUUGUCUUCAUUUUGAUUCGCCUCAUCAUGCUCACCUUCGGUUGUGUAUCCCCUCAUCUAUGACACUCCAGCUGUCACCAUCAAGCAUCUCCCAGCGAACUCAUCACUACCUUCUUUUGCCACAAAAGCCCUGCCACGUGUGGGUUUACGUACCUAUUCAUCUUCAGAGUCUAUAGACUAGACCUCCAUGCUACCGAACUCAUCAUCAACAACAUUCUCCUGCACAAUCAAAGCAUUCAUAGAAUUGUUAGUAGCUUUCUUCUUCUUUAUCUCCCCCAGCUUGCGCAUAUGAUAUGCUUCAUCAUCUUCACCCUCCUUCUUCUCUGACACCUUUCUUAACAUGCAAUCUUUGGCAAAAUGGUCUUUGCCAUGCCAGAAGUUGCAAUCGUAUCCUGAGUCUCCCACCAGUUUGCUCUCCUUCUUCUGUUCUUCUUUCGGAGGAUUACUUUUUUUAUCCUCUUUUGCCUUUUCUGAGUUGUAGCUUCCUUGCCAGUUUCGGUUCUUGGCAACAGGGAACUUUUUGCGAGCUAACCGUUUCGGGUUGGAAACCAUCAUUGCAUACUCUUCGCUUGUCAGAUCACAUUCUGAAAUUUCAGACUCUUCUUCAUCUUCUGCCACAUUCUUCGCCUUAGAGAGAAGGGCCAAGGGCCCCAUACCAGACACCACUUUCGCUUCCUUUGUCACAAGACUUUCAUGCGACUUGAGAAUACCCACCAUCUUUGCCAAUGAAUAGGUCUUAAACUGCUCAUGAGCCUUCACAGUUGAUGCCACAACCAUCCAUUCGGGUCUUAAACCAUUCAGAAAUGUGAGCUUCUGUUCGAUCACUUCUCUUCCAAUACCGUGCUUAAUCAUCUUACUCAAAAGGGGGUUGAAACGAUCGAAUGCCUGGAUAAGUUUUUCAUCUGGCUUUCGUUGGAAAGCACCAAACUCAGAGAGCAAUAGAGUUUGGAUGGAAUGUUCCAAGUCCUCAUCAAUGGAAUACAGCUCUUUGAGUCUAUCCCAGAUCUCUUUUGCUGUGGUGCAUGGGCUUACCAGAUGAAAGGUAUCGGACUGCAAAGCAAGAUCUAAUCAUUCUCAUGGCUUUAACAUUACACAACAACUUUUCUUUUUCGUCUUGGGGAAUCAUCUCUACGCAAGUUAAGAGUUUGUUGUACUCUUUUUGAGUCAUCAUGGUUCUAUUUGUUCCAGAAUGAAUGGAAGGACCCAAUGUUAUUGCUUCACAGAUAAGAUAAUCGUUGUCUUCAGAACCAACGACGUAGUCUUUGAAGUGAUGCGUCCAAACUUCAUAAUCUUGUGUGUAUAGAAUCGGGAUCCUAAUUGUGGAUCCAAUGUUGUUGGAGAUAUGGAUUGGAUUGGUUUGUGAAUCUUCGAGAGACAUGAUGACCUUUUUCAGAUAUCUGCUAAGAAUCAGACUUGUAAAGAUUGAAUUAGGGUUUUAUCAAAAGCAAGAAACAACGUCAACGAAGAGAUGACGACUCCUAAUGAUUCGAUAAAAGCUGAAACCCUAAAAUUGUUCUUCCAACAGAAGAGAUGCAUAUAUAUUACACAGUCUCCUGCUCUGAUACCAAUUGAUGAGAUUAUGAUUCUCUUAGAUCGAUAGAUUCAAACAGAUAUUCAAGGAUAAUGAUAGUAACAGAAAACGAUAAAUACAAAUAUGAAUCAAACGUGUGUCGAAUGAUUAAUAUGCUCCACCUCAGAAGAAUUCAAUGUGAAUUGCUACUAUAGAGGUGUGCGAGGGUUACAAUGCAAGAUCUGUGUAAAUAAUAAUCAAGAAGCAUCUUAAAUAUAAUGCAUGCAUGCACUAUAUAUACUUAAACCCUAAAAUAAAACGCGGCUGGACAGGCCCAGACCGAGAGUACUAAUGGUCCGAACAUAAAGCCUAAUGACGCAAUCUCUUGGACUCAACAAACGGUCAACAACAUUCAAUGUCCAACCAAGCCAACAUCCACCACGAAGUGGUGACCUCUUGGCCACAUCGUGGGUAUGUCCAGACAAAACAACCAAGAAGCUGAAUACCCACCACGACAGGGUGACCUCUUGGUCACGUCGUGGUUACUGCCAUAUGCCAUUUUUUCUUUAUAAGGAAUUAAUCCAUUAAGUCCUUUGCUCCAACUUUCUAGAAGGCCUCAUUGCCCACAAAUGAUCCAUACAAAUCAUUACUUUAUGGACAUGCAUGUCCAUUGCAUUUCUCUCUUAAUACUAGGUCAAAAUGGGUAAGAAAUAGAGUCAAAGCUCCAUGCAUGGCACCAAUCAACAUGAAAUACUAAAUAUGAACCAUAUGAUGACCAAGGAACCCCAAUAAGUGAUAAAUUUGCCAACUUUAUGAAAACCAUUCAUUCAUAAUAACAUAUUAUAAAGGAACAGAGCUUAAAACCUAGAUCUACAAAAGAUGAACUAAAAAGGUGAGAACUUGGAGGCUCGCAAUAGUCCAUAGGAUGCACCAAGAGAUGGAGAUGAACUUGCUAGCUUAUCCUUAACAAAACAUAGCCUUCCUUCAACCUUCAAAUGACCAAAACACCAUCAAAGAGCUCACAAGACAAGAGGAUAGACUAGGGUUUUGAAAAGGUGGAAUAGAGGCUGAAGAAGAUGCCCUAAUCUUGGACUUAGUGGCCUUAAAUAUGGUAGAAAUCCUAAAAAUCGUGAGAUGGGGUUACAAUAUCCACCACAUCAUGACCUCCCACUUGCCACGUUGUGGUUCUCAUUAUAGCAUGCGAUCUGGAAGUUUCAUGUCACUUCGUGGUACUCGAUAUACCACAUCGUGGCAUAUGAUUCUCUCUAAAAACUAUCUUUGUCCUUUAUGAAUCUUCAAUUGAUCCAUUCUAGAAUGUAACAACCCAAUUUUCAUAAAAAAUUUAAACUUUUAAUUUCACAAUAUUAACCAUAGAAAAUACAAAGAUCCCAUUACACAUCCAUGUUAUUCUGAAAUUUUGAGUACAAAGAGCUAAUUUCGAAACACUAGAGAAUGCAUGCCUUGUCAUCAAGUCGGGCCCUUGCCCUUAUCAAUAGAAGUACCUGAAACAUUCAAAUAAACUAUAAGAACAAGCUUAGUGAGUUUCUUAAUCACAAAAGUCAUGCUUAUACAUAUACAUACAAUUUGCCAUGGACUCCCUCCACGGUCUUUCAAUGGAAUGCCAUGGGCUACCCCCAUGGUCUUAUUUCCUCAUGCCAUGGGCUCCCCCCAUGGUCUUCACAUGGACCCAUACAUAAAUCAAAUAACAUAUCAUUUCACAUUUAACUACAAAGCAUAUCAUAUAAAUUAAUGGGCCGACCUUGGUGCCUUCGACCCAUGAGUGUGGUGAGAAGACUCACCUCACCAGUAGCACUGAAUGACAAGAUCCAACUCCCAAAUCACAGCUCCGAACUCAAUUGCCUACAGUCAUCAUGUGACUUACUCCAUCAAAAUCCCGAAAUACCCAAAAUACCCUCACAUUCAAACUUGGUCAACCAUGUCCAAAGUCCAAGUCAACAGUCAAGGUCAACAGUCCAUGUUGAUCCAACUUGUAAUGCAUGUUCCAGUUAUCAUUUAAUUUAUAAGUUUUUUAGGGUUUUAUGCUAAAAUUUGAUGAGUUGGGGAGCCCAACUCGAUGAGUAGAGAUCGUUUUUGGACGCGGGACUUAGGGUCUUCUCGACGAGUUGGAAGACCCCCACUCGACGAGUAGGCAGUAUAAAGGAAAACCCUAAUUUUCAAGGGUUUGUACCAUAUUUAAGGAACUUAUGGGUCAUUUGUGGCCUCCCUCAUCGUCCUAUCUGUCCAGAGAGAAAGCCUAGCCGCGCUUUAGUGUCUUCUUGAGUGUGUGUGAGCUUUGGAGAGUGAAUCUUGUGCUUUUUGGAAGGAAACUUGAAGGUUGAAGAGAUUUAAGUGAGGGGAGGGCUUUAGAUCUGGCAUCUAUCUGGUGUUAGCAUCCAUUUGGAGGUAAAAAGUUGCUACCUUGAUCUCUAUUUGCUUAUAUCUCAUCUUAUGAAAGAAUAUGGUCACUUUUGGUGCAAAAUGGUGUCAUACUCAGAUUUGGACUUGUCAUUAGGACAUGGUUCCAGAUAUGGACACCUCUAGGUCUUCAUGGACAUAAAGUUGCUCCCUUUACCUAGUAUAGUCCCUUUUCCAUGUCCUAAGCAUUGUAAGAACCCUAGAUUUAGUGUUUUAGCCAUUGGAGGCCAUGCAUGAAUGUGCAGUUUGCAACUUUAUGUGGUAUUUCGAUCUUAAGGGACUGGAUCUAUAGUUUGGAGGUUUGGAUUCGACUAGAAGGACUGAUUAUGUUAAGGCAAGGGAAAAAUCGACGAGAUGCCUUGGUGACUCGAUGAGUUGGAGCGGGUUUUCCCGUUUUCAGUCUGUAGAGUAAACCCGGCGAGUUGAUAAGAUAACUCGACGAGUUGGAUCAGGUUUUUCUCAUUUUCGGUCUGACGAGUAACUCAACGACUUGAUGAGGCAACUCGGUGAGUUGGCUAGGGUAUUCUCUGGUUUUCUGAACACUGGAGGAACUCGACGAGUUGCUAGAUGCACUCGAUGAGUUGGGUUAACAUGGACUAUUGACCUUGAAUUUGACUAGGGUUGACCAAGUUUAACCUUAAGGUUAUUUCUGGCAUUUAUGGAUUUUCACAAGCUAGUCACAUGAUGAUUGUAGGCAAUUGAGUUGGAGCUGCACGUUGGGACUUAUCUGAACUUAUCUCAUCAGUUCAACAUCUUUGAGAGGUGAGUCUCCUCACCAUACUAAAGGGUCGAAGGCACGAAGACCGACCCAGUUUAUGAUAUGUGGUAUACUAGUUUAUGUAGUGUUAUGUAGCAUGUUAGCUGGUUAUGUGCUAGGAGGUAUGGUAGUUGUAUAUGUGGUAUACUUGUAUGGAAGACCAUGGGAGAGCCCAUGACACUUGGAUGUAAGGCCAUGUGGAGUGCCCAUGGAUUUCCUAUUAAAGACCAUGGGGGAUCCCAUGACACUUAGAUGUAAGACCAUGUGCAGAGCCCAUGACUUUCCUAUUAAAGAUCAUGGGCUCCGCCCAUGGCACUUAGGUGUAAGACCACAUGAGGUGCCCAUGGCAUCCUGGAGUAAAACCCUGGGGGAACCCACGACAUCCCUAUAUGUUGUAUGCUUGGCUUAUGUGGUUGAUGUAGCUUCUAUAGCUAAUACGAUAUAUGUGAUUAUGUGGACUGUGUGUGGUAUGCUCUGGGGAACUCACUAAGCAUUAGCUUACAGUUUGUUGAUUUGUUUCAGGUACAUCUAAGCCAAGGGGAAGGAUAAGGCUUGAUGGCGUGGCAUGCACUCUUCGAUAUUUGUUUUGAGGGGACAUUCUGAUAUUUGAAAUAAAAUGUUGAUGUUAUGGAUUUUGAAAACAAUUGUCAUUGAUAUUUCAUAUUUCAUGGGAAUGUUUUCGUUAAUUAAAAAUGAAAAUUUUAUUUGAAAAUUUGUGUCAGGACUCAAAACUAAGGAAAUGGUAAAAUUGUUUUCAAAAAUCAAAAGUUAAAAAAUUCUUAAAUGGAAAAAGAGGAAAGUGCAAGGUGCGUGAUCAUUCGAGCUCAAGUAAGUGGUUCCCUAAUAUGUUAGCCAUGUGGUACUGAUAAUUGGAUUAUGAUAGUCGGAUGGAUAUUGCUAUGUGUAUGCUUUUAAAAUUGUAUAUGGUUAGGAGCUUAUAACCUUAGAAUGAUUGAUUUUGCCUUAUUUCCUGUUCCUUGUCUGGUUGUGGUUCUAGGGUAGAAUCUAUUAUUCGAAAGUAUAUUUGAUCCUGUUCUGUGUAUAAUUUGCAUGAAUAAAGGCAACCUGUUAUGAUGAAGUUCUGGUUUGUUAUGGAUGGAGCAAAUCUUAGGAUAGCCUAGGAUUUGAGUUAUGCGGUAGCCUGGGAGAUAUGUUUUGUUUUGGGACGAAUUAGAGUCAUCAGGUAGAGCCUUGCGGAAGGUACAAGUAGGUUUGGAAUGUAGUAUUGGACCCAUACUACUAAAAGCACAAGACAUGUACCCGAACCAAUGUUAGAUCUAGAGGCUCUAAGGAGAGCCGGUGUGGGAGGAUCCCCUUUUUGUACAUCCUGAUCAUUAUGUUUUAUGAUAUUGCAGUUCAGUAUGGUGGUGACACAAUUUGGAGCAGAGGGAUCCGGAUUAGGAUCCAGAUUUGGUUCUGGCGACGGUACCGAGCCCAUUGAUGAGAGGUUGCGCGAGCUCAUUGCAAUCGAGGUUACGAGGGGAAUCCUUGACGCUACCCCAGUGAUUUUUGGGACAGUGAAGGAAGGGAUGAUGGAGAUUUUUGAGGAGAGGCUCAGGUCAUUCAGAGCUGAGAUUGCUGCGGGCCAUAUCGGGGCCCGAACUCCCUUGUUCCGGGAGUUCAAGGCAUAUGGGGCGCCAUAGUUUUUAUGGCCAGGGACCCCAUAGUUAGCCAACUCUUGGAAGCGGACAUGUAGAACACCCAGUGCACGAGUUCCUACCUUGAUGUGGAAAAUAUGAGUUUUGUUUCAUGUAUGUUGAGGGAUCGAGCCUGAGAUUGGUGGGGAGAGGUGACUAGCCAGGUGGGAGCAGCCGGUAUGGCUGAGAUGAUGUGGUCAGAGUUUGUUAGGCGAUUCAAUUUGAAGUUUGCACCACCUAUUAAGGUGCAACGGCUAGUGAGGGAGUUUCAUGAGCUCUAAUAGACCACCGAGACUGUGGCGGAGAUCACCGCCAAGUUUCGGGAACGAGCACUAUCGAUCCCACAAUAUACUAUAGAUGAGGAUAUGAGGAGGACGAGGUAUCAUUCCAUACUGAGGGAUGAUAUCCCAGAGUUUGUAAGUUUUACAGGGUGCAAAAACUUGAAUGAGAUGGUGGAGAAGGCCCGUGAGUGGAAGAUGGAGUUGGAUUUCCGCACCAAGCGGAAGACUGAGCAAGCAUAAACAACAGUAGGUCAGGCUAAAAAUCCGAAGACCUCAGAUUCUUCCGGUAGGGGCUAACAGGGUCGUAGCCAGUAUGCCAAGUGCGGUAAACCGCACAAUGGGGCUUUUCAAGCGGCAGGCACGGGAUGCUACGCAUGUGGCCAGUUUGGGCCACGUGAUCAGGGACUGCCCCAAGAAGAGCCUGAUUUGUUUCUAGUGCAACCAGACCGGCAACAAAUAGGCUGAACGUCCGAGGUUGCAGGAAGGGGGAGGAGCAGUGGCGACGCCUGCGCCUACGACACUGAGGAUCACUGAUGGCCGCCCUGCUAAGGCAGAUGCUCCAGUGGUGAAGAGCCACGUAUUUCAGUUAACUAUCGAGGAGGCUCGGGCAGUGCCAUGCGUCAUGGCUGGUACGUGUUUUUUCUUUGCUGCUUGAUAUUUAUUUGUAUUGCUUAUGUGUAUAUAUGUGCUCAUGUGUAGGGACCUUUUUGGUAAAUGGUAUGUCGGCUCACAUUCUGUUCGAUUCGGGUGAUACCAGAUUAUUUGUAUCUCUUGCACUUAGCAAGAAGUUUCGGGAUGCGCCAGGGAUUUUGGAUUCCCCGUUUGAGGUUGAGAUUGCAGAUGAACGCACUAUGAAUAUUGCAAGGGUGUAUCGCGACUAUGUCCUGAAUAUGGUUUGGGAGAGGUUUCAUGUUAAUCUAGUCCCGAUACCGUUGCGAGGGUUGAAGGUGAUCGUCGGGAUGGACUGGUUGGAGACCAAUGGGGCCAUGAUCGAUUGCGAGCGCUAGCUGGUGAGGGUUCGAACCCCAAGUGGGGGGGGGGGAACUGGUUAUUCAUGGAGAGAGGGCCUCGCAGGGGCCAACCCUUUAUUCAGCUGCGAGGGCUAGGAGACUUCUUCAGCAGGGUUGUUUGGUAUUUUUCGUAUAUAUCUCGACAGAUUUGGGUAGUGUGCCAGUUGUACAAGAUUUUCGGGAUGUUUUCCCUGAAGAGUUGCAUGGAGUGCCUCCGAAGAGGCAAGUGGAGUUUUGCAUUGAUUUGGUGUCAGGUGCCGCUCCGAUAGCCAAGGCACCGUACCGUCUAGCUCCACCCGAAAUGCAGGAGCUAUCUACGUAGCUUCAGGAGCCGCUAGAUCGAGGGUUUAUCCAUCUGAGCAGUUCCCAGUGGGGAGCACCGAUCCUAUUCGUGAAAAGGGACGGGUCACACAGGAUGUGUAUUGAUUAUCGAGAGAUGAACAAGCUAACAGUGAUAAACAGUUACCCGAUUCUGAGGAUCGAUGAUUUGUUCGAUUAACUGUAUGGUCCGCCUUGGUUUUCCAAGAUUGAUCUUUGGUAGUGGUACUAUCAGAUGAUGAUUCGGGAUGAGGAUACACCGAAAAAACCUUAAAGGACUCGGUAUGGGCACUAUGAGAUUGUGGUGAUGCCAUUUGGGCUCACCAAUUUCCCAGCAUCAUUCAUAAAUCUCAUGAACAGGGUGUUGGAUCGGUUAGUGAUCAUAUUUAUCAAUGAUAUUUUGGUCUAUUUUUAGACCAAGGAGCAGCACGAGCAGCAUCUGAGGGAGGUAUUGGAUACAAUGAGGAUGGAAAGGCUUUAUGCCAAGUUCUCAAAGUGUGAUUUUUGGUUGAGAGAGGUGCAGUUUUGGGGAUACAUCAUCAACCAAUAGGGUAUUUUGGUUGAUCCAGCCAAGAUUGAGGUAGUGAUGUGGUGGGAGGUGUUGAAGAAUUCAUUAGAGAUAUGUAGCUUCUUGGGUCUAAUAGGGUACUAUCGAAGAUUCAUUCAGGAUUUCUCCAAGAUUGUUGUGCCUUUGACCUGCUUGACCAAGAAGAAUCUGACAUUUCGAUGAGGCCUAGAUCGGCAGUUGGCUUUCGAGACCUUGAGGCAAAGCUUAUUUGAGGCCCCGAUUUUAGCAUUACCGUGGCGACUCGGCGAGUUGGAGCGGUGAUAUGGGCUUAUUUAGUCGGAAAAAUCAUGCAUGAUCUUAAUACUUUAUGUUAAUUUUAUCUCAAAUAAUGAACCAAAGGUGCUUAAUUAGCUUAAAUAUUUCAUUUUCAGCAACAAAGGCAUGCUCGGAUGGAAAAUGAAGCGGAACUAGCGAUUGGAGGCUUGGAUCUUGGAUUUUGAUGAAAGAAGGAUGUUGCUGGACAGCUUGACCCUUGUUAGUGUUAUGGCCAUAUCUUUUGAAUCGUAACUCCGAUUGAAGAGAUUCAAAAUGUUUUGAAAACUAGACACAAUUUCGGACGACUUUCGUGUUUUGAGGAAAUGCUGAUUCCAAACGGACUCAGCGAGUAUGCCAUCAACUCGACGAGUUGGUCAGAAGUUUAACAAUUUUUAAGUGAUGGACUCGGCGAGUAGGUCACUGGACUCGCCGAGUAGCCCCUGUUUUCAUAAUNNNNNNNNNNNNNNNNNNNNNNNNNNNNNNNNNNNNNNNNNNNNNNNNNNNNNNNNNNNNNNNNNNNNNNNNNNNNNNNNNNNNNNNNNNNNNNNNNNNNNNNNNNNNNNNNNNNNNNNNNNNNNNNNNNNNNNNNNNNNNNNNNNNNNNNUAUAUCGAAACGCUUCUCAUUUGAAACCUAAUGAAUGGGGGAAGUUUAGGACGAUUUUUGGAGGCCAGAAGGGUUCUUAGAAGCUGUGGUUUUCGAGAUUUCAACUUAGAUAUCAAUUUGAAAGAAGAUCAAAGGCCAUAACACACUACUUUUAUCUUAAUCUUUUGCAUAAACCAUGUUUCAAUCAUUAGAUUAUGUUUUUAGUUUUUUAUUUGCUGUAGAUAUGAGCCAAAAAGUCAUAACUUUUGUUUAGGAUAAAUGAUUUUGUGAUUAUGGUUUGACUUUAUGGUAGGAUUAAUUUAAUAUUGGUGAUUUUGUGAUUCUAGCUUGUUAAAGAACAUUUUGUGUGAUUGAAAACUAUUUUUCUGUUAUUAGGAAGUUAAUUAAACUGUACGAACAUCUCUUAAUUGUUACCUCAUAUAAUUUAUGUGACUACUUUGUUAUAUGACUAGGAUUAACGACUGUGAAACUAGAAUUAAUAGAAAAAUAGGUAAAAUCGUGUGUGAGCUUGUGUGAUGACCAUCAACAAGAGGUCAACUAAAGGACCAAAUAAGUUAACCAUUACAAGUCUAAAUUAACCCGAAUAAAUAACCUAGUGAAUUGAAUUAAAUUAGACAAUUGGCCACUGUUUGAGUUAGUUUGUUCUCUAAGGAUUAGUGCAGCGAACGUGAAUCUAAUCACUUGAAUCGGUAGCCAAUAGAAGAAUUAAUCCAUUGCAUCAUUACCAUAAUAUCAACCAUAUGAUCAAUAGAGUUGAACUAAACAGAAGUUCCCUUCGUUAUUGAAUUUAGUUGAAUCUUUGCUUAUCUAGUUUUUAGUUAAGUAUUCUAAGUAUUAGUUGGUAAGUUUCUAGUCUUGCAAAACUAGAGAAACCCCCUUUUUUAUUGCUUGUUUUAUUUAGAUAAUAUUAGCAUUUAUUUUAAUUGUUUACCGUUCCCUGUGUUCGAUACCCUACUUGCUUGCACUAUUACUAAUCAAUAGGUACAUUGCAUUUCGUGUGUUUAUUUUGUGUCUAAGUUAGUAGGAUUAAAACUAGUUGGUUUUCACACACAUCAAGUUUUUGGCGCUGUUACCGGGGAACGGUUCAAAUAGUUAAUUUUAUUUGCUAACUGUUAUCGUUUUUAUUUUAUUGAUUAGUUUUUUUUAUUUGAAUUUUAAGUUUUAUUUAUUAUGUAUUUUCCAAAUCUCGAUGCUUUUGAUGCUUUUCUUGAGGAAGUAGUGCAGGAAAUUGAGCAGGAAGAUGAGGAUUAUGACUCAGAUGAUGAUUUGAAGAAAUUUGGAAGAUAGUUAGAUAACUUCUUGUCUAACGAUCAAGAACAAUUUGAGUCACAAGAGCUAAAGUUACAAGAUGAAGAAUUUAAUCCAGAAAGAGAUUUGGAGGAGCUAGAAAGGUUGCUAGCAGAGAGUUCGGAUGAAGAAUAAAAACAAGCUGAAUUGCAGGAACCAAGUUGUGGUUUGACCAUUACCACAACAUGGUCCCCUGUUCUUCCGGUUUGUGUUUCGAAGCAUGGGGUGACGAUUCCAACUUUGGAGAAAGUUCUAAAUCACGAUCCAUUUAUGAUUCAUAUCCAACCGGUUCCAACCCUUGUCAAUAUUCUUGGGUUUAUGAAUUCAAGCUCGUUUGGCUAAUUUUUGAAGCAAAGAGACAAAUUUUAUAAAUUGGUCCAAAGAAAAUAUUUAAUGCAAUGGAUGGAUGGGCAUCGAAUUUAUUAGAAGUUUAUUAAGUUGGGAGUCCAGCUAAAGACUCACACAAAAAGAAGCGCUUGCGGGAGGCAACCCGUCAUUAGAGUUUCCUUUUCUUUUUCUUUUUAAACUUCUAGUUUAUUAGGGUAAUUUAGGAAUUUAAUUUUGAUGUUUGUUUUCGUUUUUCUAUUACUUGUGUGUUUUUUUUGAUCUUUUCAGUUUGAAGCUUAGGAUUGCAUGUGAGGGUCUAGAGUCAAGGUUGACGAAGCGAGAAUUCGAGUCUAGGCGAGAGAGGAAACAAAGUUUUGAUUCAAGCUAUGAGUCCAAUUGAUAGAAGGGUUAUAGAGUGUUUAUCCCCCGAAGAAAAAAGAGGGGAAGUAUUAGUUUCUAUAACCCCUAUACAUCAGAAACGGACUUGGGCAGAAUAAAAUUUUUGUCACACAUCGAUCUACUCGCCGAGUGCAUCUUAUGGACUCGCCGAGUCCAUGUGAAAAUUCACGAUUCUUCUACCAUUUACGCUUCAACUCAGCGAGUCUACAUACUUACUCGAAGCGUCGCUCAUUCUUCUUACUUUUGAGCUGAAGAUUUGAUGACAUUUGAUAUGGGCAUUGGUUCUAUUCUUUGAAGAUCAUUUUCCGAGCAUUUCGAAGAGUCUUUCUCUUAUAUUUGGAGCUUUUAUAAAGACUGUACCACACGAGAUUUUGACACCCAAUACAUGGAUGAGUUGUUCCCAUGUCUAAAGUCAAUUGAAGAUGGAGCUGAAGAGAAGAGAUAUCAACCUCGUCACUACUAUCCCAGGGGAGUUUGUUCCAAUUCUCUCUUUAUUUUUAUUGUUCUUUAUCAUGCAUAAUAUGCAAUGGGGACAUUGCAUAAAUUAAGUGUGGGGUAGGGGUUGGUUAAAUUAGUUAAAAUUUUAGUUAAAAUUCGAAAAUCUUGAAAUUUUAGUUAAUUUUGAAAUUUUUGCAUUAAAAUUGCUAGGGUUAAUUUAGAAAAUUUUGGUAAAGCAAUUAGGGAUCAUGCUAGUUUUAUAUUUGAUGAUUCUAUGAAGACCCAAAUGUUUAGUUGAGCCUAUAUACAUUAUAGUGCAUUUGUGACCCCCUUUAUUCUAGUGAAAUCGUGGGACAAAAACACAACCUCGCUUAGUUUGAGGAUCGCAAUAUGUUUAGCAUCGUGUACCAGAAAUGUAUCCAGGAAAAUUUUAUCUUUAACCAAUAAAGGUUGAAGUUGAGCGCCCCUGCUUAAGCAUGUAGGAUUUGAGUGGAAAAAAAAGAAAAAGAAAAAAAAAGUGAGUUACAUGUAAAAAAAAAAAAAAGAGAAUUACAAGAAAAGUUGUAAGAAUUGUGGAGAAAUCAAAGUGAAGAUCAAAAGAUCAAAAUUCCGAAGAUUCAAAAAGUUGAAGAUACCAAAAAUCAAACAACGAAGGUGGUGAAUUCAAAGAAAUCAAAGAUCAAAUUAUCAAGAAAGUGAAGAAUUCCAAUAGCUCCAUAGUGGUAUCGAAAAGUUGUAAUUUUCUAGAUUAUGUAUGCUUGGGUUACUUGACCAAAAAUACCUUGAGGUAAUAAAAGUUUUCUAAGGAUGGAUUCGGAGGGAUGCAUAAAAUGAGCGUUGUUCAAAAGAAGUGGGCGAGUGUUUAUGAGGAUUGUGAGUAUUUAGAAUUGAGGGGGUCCUUAGGAAAAACUUUAGACACAAAUGCAUGCUUUGCAGUCUUGGCAUAAUGGCUGGGUUCGAUUGGGAUUGUCUUAUGUGGUAUUAGUGUGCUAAAAUUCGGUUUUGCUUAGGGGCAAGCAAAAGUCAAGUGUGGGGGAUUUUGAUAUGAGCUUAUUUAGUCAUAGAAAUCAUUCAUUAUCUUAUUAAUUAUUGUUGAUUUUAUAUCAUUUUAUGAACAAAAGAUACUUAAUUAGCUUAAUAUUUCAAUUUCAGCAAUAAAAGACAUGNNNNNNNNNNNNNNNNNNNNNNNNNNNNNNNNNNNNNNNNNNNNNNNNNNNNNNNNNNNNNNNNNNNNNNNNNNNNNNNNNNNNNNNNNNNNNNNNNNNNNNNNNNNNNNNNNNNNNNNNNNNNNNNNNNNNNNNNNNNNNNNNNNNNNNNNNNNNNNNNNNNNNNNNNNNNNNNNNNNNNNNNNNNNNNNNNNNNNNNNNNNNNNNNNNNNNNNNNNNNNNNNNNNNNNNNNNNNNNNNNNNNNNNNNNNNNNNNNNNNNNNNNNNNNNNNNNNNNNNNNNNNNNNNNNNNNNNNNNNNNNNNNNNNNNNNNNNNNNNNNNNNNNNNNNNNNNNNNNNNNNNNNNNNNNNNNNNNNNNNNNNNNNNNNNNNNNNNNNNNNNNNNNNNNNNNNNNNNNNNNNNNNNNNNNNNNNNNNNNNNNNNNNNNNNNNNNNNNNAUAUAUAUAUAGAAACGCUUCUCAUUCGAACCCUAACGAAUGGGGGAAGUUUAGGACAGUUUUUGGAGGCCAGAAGGGUUUUAUGAAGCUGUGGUUUUUGAGAUUUUAACUUAGAUAUCAAUUUUGAAGAAGAUCAAAGGCAAUAAUACAUUACUUUUAUCUUAAUCUUUUGCAUAAACCAUGUUUCAAUCAUUAGAUUAUGUUUUUAGUUUGUUAUUUGCUGUAGAUAUGAGCUAAAAACUCAUAACUUAUGUUUAGGAUAGAUGAUUUUGUGAUUAUGGUUUGAUUUUAUGGUAGGAUUAAUUUAAUAUUGGUGAUUUUGUUGAUUCUAUCUUUUUAAAGAACCUUAUGUGUGAUUCAAAACUAUUUUUCUAGUUAUUAGGAAGUUAAUUAAGCUGUAUGAACAUAUCUUAAUUGCUACCUCAUAUAAUUUAUGUGACCACUUUGUUAUAUGACUAGGAUUAACGACUUUGAAACUAGAAUUAAUAGAAAAAUAGGUAAAAUCAUGUGUGAGCUUGUGUGAUGACCAUCAACAAGAGGUCAACUAAAGGACCAAAUUAGUUAACCAUUACAAGUCUAAAUUAACCCGAAUAAAUAACCUAGUGAAUUAAAUUAAAUUAGACAACUGGCCACUGUUUGAGUUAGUUUGUUCUCUAAGGAUUAGUGCAGCGAACGUGAAUCUAAUCACUUGAAUCGGUAGCCAAUAGAAGAAUUAAUCCAUUGCACCAUUACCAUAAUAUCAACCAUAUGAUCAAUUGAAUUGAACUAAACAGAAGUUCCCUUCGUUAUUGAAUUUAGUUGAAUCUUUGCUUAUCUAGUUUUUAGUUAAGUAGUCUAAGUAUUAGUUGGUAAGUUUCUAGUCUUGCAAAACUAGAGAAACCCCCUUUUUGUUGCUUUUUUUAUUUAGAUAAUAUUAGCAUUUAUUUUAAUUGUUUAUCGUUCCCUGUGUUCGAUACCCUACUUGCUUGAACUAUUACUAAUUGAUGGGUACACUGCCUUUCGUGUGUUUAUUUUGCAUCUAAGUUAGUAGGACUAAAACUAGUUGGUUUUCACACACAUCAAGCGGGCUUUCCCGUUUUCGGUCUGCAUUGUAAAUGCGAUGAGUUGAUAAGAUUACUCAAUGAGUUGGAUCGAGUUUUUCCUGUUUUCGGUCUGACGAGUAACUCGACGAAUUGAUGAGGCAACUCAGCGAGUUGGCUAGGGUUUUCCUCGGUUUUUUGAACACUGGAGGAACUCAACGAGUUGGGUCAACAUGGACUGUUGACCUUCACUUUGACUAGGUUUGACCAAGUAUGACCUUAAGGGUAUUUAUGGCAUUUCAGGAUUUUGACAAGCUAGUCACAUGAUGAUUGUAGGCAGUUGAGUUGGUGCUGCGCGUUUGGACUUACCCGAUCUUAUCUCAUCAGUUCAGCAUUUUUGAGAGGUGAGUCUCCUCACCAUACCAAUGGGUCGGAGGCACCAUGGCCGGCCCAUUUUACGAUAUGUGGUACACUAGUUGAUGUAGUGCUAUGUGGCAUGUUAGCUGGUUGCGUGCUACGAGGUAUGCUAGUUGUAUAUGUGGUAUACUUGUAUGGAAGACCAUGGGAAAGCCAAUGGCACUUAGAAGUAAGACCAUGUGGAGUGCCCAUGGCUUUCCUAUUAAAGACCAUCAGGGUAGCCCAAGGCACUUAGGGAUGACUUGAAGAAUCGUGAAUUCACUACCGCUAAUUUACGUAUUGCCAUUAUCAUCCAAUGGGACAACACCAAUUGGGGGUUACGUUUUCUUCCUUGAAGUUGCAAGUGUGCGAGAGAGAGAGAGAGAGAGAGAGAAGUACGAUAUUGGUGUCGAGUUGUGAUAUAUNNNNNNNNNNNNNNNNNNNNNNNNNNNNNNNNNNNNNNNNNNNNNNNNNNNNNNNNNNNNNNNNNNNNNNNNNNNNNNNNNNNNNNNNNNNNNNNNNNNNUUAUGGCUAAGGUCGCUGAGAUCUUAGAGGGUAGGUGAGGGAGUUACCGAUGGGAUGAAGGUGAUGUGUGUUGGGAAUAUAAGGGGGAAAAGAUAAAGAACAAAAUAUUAGGAGCGAGAUAAAAUGGGAGGAGGAGUCAUGGUAGCUUUGCCAUUGUGGGCGUCGGUUCCAAGUUGCUCCGAUGAUAAUGGGUAUGUAACUAAGGAAAUGAUUGAUAAAUUACUAAUUUUUAUAAUAACUAUCCUAAUUCUGAAAAAUUGAUCUGGAUCAUAGUAGGAUUGAAAUUGGCAUAAGAUCACAUUUGAGAUCGCGGAAUCGAAACCGAGAUCCAAUAUGAUCAUACCAUACUAUCAAAAUCUGAAUAGUAAAAUCGAAUGAAUAAUCAGGAAGAAACUCAAGGAAAUAUUUAGGAAGCAACUCAAAAAUCAAAAGAAAUAUCACGAACCAACCAUUAAGAUUAAAGAGAUGAACAUAAAAAUGUUAGGCCGUGCUUUUUCUUCUAAUCACGCUUCUCUGUCAUCUGUGCAUUUAUAACUUUUUAGUGAUAGUAAUGAAGUUCUUCUUUAAUCAAAAUUAUAAUUUGACUUUAAAAGGUUUCAAAGUGUAGUUGUGUGUUGUUAUGUGAAUUUCAUUGCUUAUUUUUCGAUCUUCAUUUUGAUAUAUAAUACUCAAUCAUUCUUGAUCUUUAUUUUGAUAUAAAACUCAACUUCUUUUGUAUGUUUCGAUAUUAUGAUUGUUAGGUACAUUUCCAUGUUCUAAUUCCUUGCUAUUGCCACUAAUUCCACAUGGCUAACCACUAUGUAAAUAUUGGAUUAAUGAUGGGAAGAUGUUGUUGCCACAUAUCACCAUUUAUUAUGUUAGAGAAUAAGUUAGAUAAUAUUAUUUAUCAGUAUUGUUUGGAUUUUUUUUAUAACUUUUUAUACUGUCAACUAUUAUAAAGAUGCAUUUUUUAUGUUUUCAACUUAUAGAUACGUUAUUUCUUGUAUGUUCUUGAGACCCCGAUAGGAUCUUGCAAAGUUAAAAUGUUCUUACAUAGGUUCCCAAUCUUAGUAACCUUAAUUUUAACCCUAAAUGAAAUUAACUACAAAACAAAAUCUUAUUUUUAAAUAAAAUAAAAUAAAAUGAUUUAAAAGUUAAAUUGAAUUAAUUUAAAACGACUAAAUUAUAUCCCAAUUAAUUUAUUGUGUGAAAGUUGUAUUUGGAAGCUUUACAAUUGAAUGUCAAUGAAAUUUGGAUAAAUCGAUUUGACUAGGUUAUGACUUAUUCGUAACAAUUUUAUCAUUCAAGACGAUCGAACUGGAAAAUAAGGGACUAUGCAUGUUAAUUAGAAAGUUAUUGUUGGUUAUACAAAAAUAUUUAAAGGAUAAGGGACUAAUCUUGCCAAUUACGGAAAAGUAGGGUUUGAUUUUGACAUAACUUAGUAACAAAAUUAGGUUUCUUUUUGUUGAAGUGCUAGGUUUUUUUUUUUUAAAUCAUUUUAUUACAUAUUAAAACCACUUUCAACCAAUUCAAUAACUACACCAACCUUCUAAACUCUCUUUAAUUCUUUUCUGGUUUUCUAUUUUUUUUUUAACCCAAAUGACUUCUUGUGAUAACUCCUAUUAAUAUGUGCACUACAUUUUAGUGAAAAUUUUCCAUUUCUCUACUCAUGUUCAUCCGAAGCAUCUAAUAUCCACAACAUUUUGGCAUUAGUUUCUUGACCUACACUAAGGAUUCUUCAAAAAUACUACAAGUUAAAGUGUGCCUAGAAAUCUGAAAACUUAUCACGAUAGAGAUUAGGAAGUUGCACAAAAGUAGUUAUACAACAUUACUUUGUUUUUAAUGAAAAGUUUGGUGAUGAGCAAUUUUAGAUAAGAUUCCAAAUGAAUAGACCCAUAUUCAUGCAUAUUAUUGGCAAUAUGGAUACAAAAUAUCCAUAUUUUCAAACAAAUUUAGAUGCACAAUGCAAAAAAAGAAAAAAAAUGCAUUGUAGAAACAUACAUCUGCAAUACGACAUGCAUGUUCGUCGAGUACUUGAAUAUGUUGGAAAUAACUUUACAUGAAAUCCUCUACAACUUUUUCCAUGGUUUUGAUAACAUAGAUGGAGACGAUUUUAUACGCAAGCCAACAUCGAACAACAUUUAAUUUUUGUACAUUGCACAUGCAUCAAGACAUGAAUUUCUUUGUAACUUAGGUAGAAUUGAGUGUACACAUUGUGAUCAGAGAAAUUGCCUGUAACAUCUCGAUAUUAAGGUAUUUCCACUUUUAACCCUUGAAAUGAGAAUUUAUUGAAUUUUGGACCGUAGUGGUAUUUUUGUAAAUUUUUUGAAGAAGCUUGUAUACGCUCGGUGUACAUUGUGUACGCUGGGUGUACGUGAUGAAAUCCCAAACCCUGGUAUUUAGGGUUUGGACUCUAUUUAAACUUCCUUAAGUCCCAAUCCUUCCUUCCUUCAUCAGCCUCCAGCCCCAACUUCGACCUUUGCAAACCCUAAUUCGUUUUUGAAGCAUUCUUGAGCCAUUGUUGUGUUUUGGUGUUUAUAGAGGAAGAAAAGGGAAAAGAUAACAACUUAUAAGCUUGGAACAAACUUUGAACUGGAAUUUUUGCACACUCCUAUAGAUAUUAUAGGUGUAAAUUUCAUACCUUCGUGGUCAUUUGGUUAGAUCUUGCUUGUAUGAUGUUACUAUGUGCUUUUGUCCCAAUCAAUAUUGUUCUUGAGUAUGACAUGCUCUAGAUCCAUUCAAGCUGUCCUUUCAGACGUUUUGGAGUGUCUAAGGUCAUAAUAAUGCAAUCUUGAUUGUUAAAUUCCUUCCAUGCAUGAGUUAAAGUGUCUUAAUGAGUUAUGAAUUUAGGGUUUUUGUUGUUGGGCACUUAAUAGCCAUGCAAUACCAUGAAGUUGGAAACAUUAUGGUUAAGGACGUUAGUUUAGGACUAGAUCUGAAAAUUUGGCAAAAGAGCUUAAGGAUUAAGAUCUUAAUAAGAAAGGGAAGAAAUCCAUUGUGUACGCUGGGCAUAACCAGGUACGCCGCACGUACAAAGUCAGCCGACCCACUUUUGGUCAACAAGCUAGUACGUCGUGCGUACCAGCUAAGUAUGUUGGGCGUACUCAACUUGUUGACCAAGUUUAACUUUUUGACUUUUUGACUUUUACCAAGAUUUGACCAAGUUUGACCUAAGGGUAUUUUAGGUAUUUGAACUUGUAUUUGAGAUUUCUCACUGUUUGUUGAAUAGGUGACAGGUAGAGCUAAGAUUCAGAGUAAAGAUCUAUUUAGCUAUUUGUUCAGACUAAGAGGUGAGUUUACCUCACUGUUCUUGUGGGUCGAAGGCACCAAUUUCGGCGCAUUAGUUUAUAUAUAU
rnacentral:lncRNA from 1 species